rnacentral:misc_RNA from 1 species
GGAUGUAAAAGUCGUAACAAGGUUUCCGUAGGUGAACCUGCGGAGGGAUCAUUAAUGAGUUGUCAUGGGGUUCGAUGCUGGCAGCCAAUUUUUGGAUGCAUGUGCUUGCCCUAACAAUCAUCUUCCAAACACCUGUGCACAUUUUUGAGGGAGUCUUGAGUUGGUUGCCGCUCUUGGGUGAUUUUCUCACAUUCCCUUAAAUCAUUAUACGCUAUUAACAAUGUUGAACGUGCUCUGUGCCGCAAGGCUAUUAAUAUAAUACAACUUUUAACAACGGAUCUCUUGGCUCUC